rnacentral:rRNA from 1 species
AUGAAAAAUUUAUCUUGGGCUCUUGCAGCUGUUAAGAAUUUUUAUAGAUGGGUCCCGGGGGAUGGGAACAGCAUUGCCUUCUGGCAUGACAUUUGGACAGGAGAUUGUUCUUUAAAAACUGCUUUUUGGGAUCUUUACAGUAUUUGCCAGCAGCAGGACUCUACCCUGGCUCAGGUCUGGGUGGAUGGUGAGCUGCGGUUAACAUUUAGGAGGUGUGUCACUGAAAAUACACUAGCAAGAUGGGAGGAACUCACCGAGAUUGUUAAGACUGUUUGGCUGUCUGACUCUCCGGAUCAACCUCUCUGGAUGUUAGAUUCUUCUAACAAAUACUCUGUCAAAUCCUUCUAUAAGUUUAUUAACUUUGGAGGGAUUCCUUCUGUCAUUAAAGAUGAUAUAUGGAAAAUCAAAGUGCCGCCGAAUAUACAUGUUUUUCUCUAGCUGGUUUAUUACAACAAGAGUUUAACCAGAGAUAACUUAGCUAAGCGUAGACAUGUGGAGGACAUGUCUUGUGUCUUCUGCUGCGAACCUGAAUCUAUCCAGCAUCUGUUUUUUGACUGCAUUAUUGCUAAGUCUGUUUGGAGUUUAAUUGCUGAUAUCUUUGUGAUUGAUGUUCCUAACUCUUUUGAUCAAUUAUCUUCCUUCUGGAAGAGAAGGAAGCAUUAUGAAGUCUUGAAUAUGGUUUCUGCUGCUGCCUUGUGGAGCUUAUGGCGUCUUCGGAAUGAUUUUGUUUUCCAGGGGCGAAGAUGGCAAAGUAUGCGGUGUGUCUUGGACCUGUUGGGGGCGACGAUCAAGAAAUGGAAAAUAUUAUGCUCAGAAGCUCAGGGUGCGCUACUUCUCCGGUGCUUAAGGCUUUUGGACCACCGAAGAGGGGAGUUGCUUAGAAUCGCCUGGAUGUGA